rnacentral:rRNA from 1 species
UACAGAGGUCCCAAGCGUUGUUCGGAUUCACUGGGCGUAAAGGGUGCGUAGGUGGUCGGGUCAGUCUGAGGUGAAAUCUCCGAGCUUAACUCGGAAACUGCCUUGGAUACUAUCCGGCUGGAGGGUUGGAGGGGGGACUGGAAUUCUCGGUGUAGCAGUGAAAUGCGUAGAUAUCGAGAGGAACACCAGUGGCGAAGGCGAGUCCCUGGACAACUCCUGACACUGAGGCACGAAAGCUAGGGGAGCGAAAGGG